AUCGAACGCUGGCGGCAGGCCUAACACAUGCAAGUCGAGCGAGCGGCGGACGGGUGAGUAAUGUAUGGGGACUGCCCGAUAGAGGGGGAUAACUACUGGAAACGGUGUCUAAUACCGCAUACUAUCGGAUAACCCAUAUGGGAUUAGCUAGUUGGUGGGGUAAAGGCUCACCUAGGCGACGAUCUCUAGCUGGUUUGAGAGGAAGAUCAGCCACACGGGGACUGAGACACGGCCCAGACUCCUACGGAGGCAGCAGUGGGGAAUAUUGCACAAUGGGCGCAAGCCUGAUGCAGCAAGGCCGCGUGUAUGAAGAAGGCCUUAGGGUUGUAAAGUACUUUCAGCGGGGAGGCGGUACCCGAAGAGGAAGCACCGGCUAACUCCGUGCUAGCAGCCGCGGUAAUAC
rnacentral:rRNA from 1 species